rnacentral:rRNA from 1 species
UACGAAGGGGGCUAGCGUUGCUCGGAAUCACUGGGCGUAAGGCGCACGUAGGCGGGUCUUUAAGUCAGGGGUGAAAUCCUGGAGCUCAACUCCAGAACUGCCUUUGAUACUGAGGAUCUUGAGUUCGGGAGAGGUGAGUGGAACUGCGAGUGUAGAGGUGAAAUUCGUAGAUAUUCGCAAGAACACCAGUGGCGAAGGCGGCUUUCUGGUCUGUAACUGACGCUGAGGCGCGAAAGCGUGGGGAGCAAACAGG